rnacentral:rRNA from 1 species
GACGAACGCUGGCGGCGUGCUUAACACAUGCAAGUCGAACGAAGUGGCGAACGGGUGAGUAACGCGUAAUCAACCUGCCCUUCAGAGGGGGACAACAGUUGGAAACGAUUGCUAACCCCGCAUAUGUACGGUGGGGUUUGUGUCUGUUUGGUUAGUUGGAGGGGUAACGGCCCACCAAGGCGAUGCUCAGUAGCCGGUCUGGGAGGAUGAACGGCCACAUUGGGACUGAGACACGGCCCAGACUCCGACGGGAGGCAGCAGUGGGGAAGCUUCCGCAAUGGACGAAAGUCUGACGGAGCAACGCCGCGUGAGUGAUGACGGCCUUCGGGUUGUAAAGCUCUGUUAAUCGGGACGCGGUACCGGAAUAGAAAGCCACGGCUAACUACGUGCCAGCAGCCGCGGUAAUUC